ACUAAAUCAGCUCCUAUACACGCGGCACGUGUCCGGGUGGAUGAAACUGACCGUUUCAUUUAAACCGGUUUGACGGGCCAUCAUUUUCUCUGGCAGCCCAACAGGGCCAUCUCUACUGCAAGAUUUCUAUCGUCUCCGCGACCUCGAUUUCUCAGCAAGGCAUCUCGCGACUCCUCAUGUCAUCUCUGUGGCGGCUCCGCGAUUGCCUCCCUCCGCUGCCGUGACCAAGCUUCCUUCGCGACCAUAAGCCACGAUAUCUCCUAGCUCCCAAAGAUCGUCGAUCUCACUUCCAAUUGCAGAGGAUCUCAAGCCGCGGUAGCCAAUCUCACUACUAUUUUCGUCUGAAGGGUUGAUGGUUGAUCGUCUCCGACUCUUCACUUCGUCGUCACCGUUUCUGCUCUCUGCACCACUCACUCAUUCCAGCCAGAAACAUCCGGAUGCUCAGCUAUGUUCACAAGAAGUUGCUUAGCAGAGGAUGAUACUCUGUUCACGCAGCUAUUCGUAAAAACUUUUACGGAGAUAGUGAAAUUGAGGAGACAAUCAGAGAGAUGGAAGCAACAGAGGAGAGAUUAGUUGUGUACGAUGUUGAUGUGUUGGAUUAUCAAAGCAUACUUGUCUCUCUCAAGACAUCUAACGCCGUCUUCUGCCUGUUGGAUAGCCCUGAAGGAUACGAUGAGAAGGAAGUGGAUUUGGAGGUGAGAGGAGCUAUCAAUGUGGUGGAAGCAUGUGAAAGAACAGAGAGCAUAGAUAAGAUUGUGUUCUCUUCUUCUUCUUUAACAGCUUCAAUUUUGAGAGACAACAUUGGAACUCAGAAGGAUGUUGAUGAGAAGUGUUGGAGUGAUCAAGACUUCUGUCGCAACAAAAAGGUUUCUAAUCUUUCUUCACUUAAUGUAGGUAGCUCAAAUUAUUUCAUUUCAUCGUUUUCCCACUUACAAGUGACUGGGUUCUAUGUUCUCCUUGAGCGGCUUUGAUUUCACUAGGUGAUACGGUUCAGUGAUGAACACCCGGUUUGAUGAGUUAAACGGACCGAUUACACCCAUUCCUGAAGAACAAUUCAGGUCAAAGUAUGAACUCCAAGAGUUUCUGAAACCAAGCUUGAGGAGAACAACAGGUUUCUUUCUUGGUAUCAUCUUCAUGAUGAGAUAGUUUGCAGAAGGAAUGGUAGAGUUUAUUGGAUUGCUUGAGGUGGCUGUUAAGAAAGGUACUAACUUAGCUAUCAGAGACAUGAUGUCAAGUGAUGCUUAUGUUGCCUUGAAUCUAGGGAAGCAAGUAAGUGUAUCUCUUUGUGACUGUUUACUAACCUGCAUCUAUAGACUCUUUGUGGAUCUUAAAAGCUAUUGUUCAUAAACUUCAAAAAACUGUUGUGAAUUGUAAUUUGAACCCGGUAUGGAAUCAAGAACUCAUGCUGUCUGUUCCUGACAGCUAUGGUCCUGUAAAACUGCAAGUGUAUGAUUAUGAUACAUUCUCUGCUGGUGACAUAAUGGGAGAAGCUCAACUUGAUAUCCAGCCUCUGAUAACAUCUGCGAUGGUGUUUGGGGAUCCAGAGAUGUUUGGGGAUAUGCAGAUUGGGAAAUGGCUAAAGUUGCAUGAUAAUCCGCCAAUAGAUGACAGCAUCAUUUGACAGCAUCAUUUCGAUCCAAAAAAAAAGAUGACAGCAUCAUUAACAUUGUUGAUGGGAAAGUGAAGCAAGAGGUUCAGAUCAAGCUUCAGAAUGAAGAGUCUGGAGAAUUAGAGCUGUAAAUGGAAUGGCUGCCACUUAACCAAUAAUACUAAUGCCAGUAGAUUUCACUUUAUAUAUAAAACUUACACAUUUUGCAAUACAUACAUUCUCUUUUUCUUUUGUUGGAACAUUUUUUGAUCUCUCAUUUCUUACACAAGAAAGUGUUAAUUUGUAAUAUUUUGUUUCCUGAUGGUUAUAUCUUACAAAGUUACACAUUUGUAUUUGGUUGACUUAAACUUAAGUAAUAUAUUUAUCUGAAUACUAAUGAUUAAUAUAUGGUUUCAUUGUAUUUACCAGACUUAAAAUAAUUUACUAUAACAGCGAGUUAUAUAUAUUUACUUAUUGAAUUGUUUAAAUUAGUGAUUCCAAAAAAAAGUAAUAAACUAUCAAUAAAUUGAAAAGUAUGUACAAAAAAGAAACAAAGCAAUGUUUUGAGAAUUUAACCUAACUGAAAUAAUAAAAAUUAUACUCUAUUUGCUAUAUACAUGUAUUAAAAUUUUGAUCAAACAUUUAUGAAACUGUAUAACAAUUGCAAUAAUGAAAAUAUUUACAUGCUAGUGCAAAUUAUAAUUUCUAACAAAACUAAUAAAAAUAGAAAAAUCAUGUUAAUUUUAAUUAGAGCCUUAGAGGUAUACAAAGAUGAGAUAAGAAUGUCUUUUCAUUAAACGAAAAAGACACAACGAAAACGAAGAUAAUGACUAAAAUAGUAAAAGGUCUUGAAAUAUAUAUUGGACAACAAAUAAAAAUAAAAGCAUAUUAGAUUUAAAAACAAAAAACAAAAUCAAACGUUAAACUAACUAAUCAAAUAAAUAUAAUAUCCACUUUUAUUAUAAACUUCAAAUCCUCAUCAGAAAGAAAUUACUUCGGAUCAUCGUCUAUAUUAUUAAAACUGAAGUACAUUUUAGAUUUGUUUGGAAACAAAAAUAGCAAUAUAUCUAUAUUAUUUGGAAACAUGGAUAGCAUUUGAAAAAAAAUUAUGGCAUUUUAGCAAUAUAAAAAAAUCGAUUUGUAAUAAAUAUUUCAUCAAAUAUAUUCAGUUACCAUAACUCAAAUACACGUAAUAAAUGUCACUUUUAAAUACGGAAACAAUAAAAGAAUAACGAAAUAGAUUUUGACAAAUAUAUGAUACAUCUGCAAUGUAAAUUUAUAAAAAAAUAUAGAACACUUAAAACGAAAAACAAAUAUAAAUUUAUAAAACAAAAAAAUUAAUACCACAAUACAAUUGCACUAUAAAAUGGUGAGGCAUCUAAAAUAUAUAAUAUUCACAUGAAAACUAUAAAAUAUUAUAAUAUUCUUAAUUAUGUAAUAGUUAGACAUGAAAUAUUAUAACCUCUCAGGUCCACCUCCUAUUGCAAUUACGUGACAUGCAAACAUAUUCAUGUUAUAUAUGAUUAAGUGUCUCUUUGAAUAGAAAAGUACUAUGGUUUCUUUCUUUAAGUGUUUCAGAAAUGAGCUAAAAACAAUUUCACAGUUUUGUUAAAUAUCUUUAUGAUCGAAAAAUUAUUAUCUAAAAUUACAUUGUUAUUAAAUUUUGAAUACUUUACAUAAGUAGAUUAAUAUUAAAAUUUUCAACAGAGAUAUGGAAAUCACAAUAUUUUGAAAAAAAUCACAUUUUUAAAAUUUGUAUAUCUCUUCAAUCAUAGGAACCACCAUAUUUGAAAUCUAUAUUUAUCAAAAAAAUAAUAUAUUUUCUAAAGGUUCAAUUUUGAUUUUUUGGUUUUAGAUAUAUAGGAACCACUUAAUUAUUUGUGAAUAUCAAUUUAGUUUUGAGUUUUUUUUGCUUCGGUUUUGAUUCACUUUUGGUUCUCGGUUUAUAGUUCCAUGUCUAACCAGGAUGCUGAAGUGUUUUUUUUCUUUGGUUAUAAUUUUUACAAUAUCACGUCAUAAAACGGGUUAUAACCUAUACAUAUAAAUAAAGCUUUGCAGUAUAUAUUUCAAAUAUUUCCACAAAUUCAAUGGUAAGUAUAUCAGAUCUGGAUAUAUCAUUUCGGGUAUUUAGUAUUCAAAAAGAUUUGAAUUAUCUAAAAAUAUGAAAAAUACCCAAAACAUGAAAAAUAUUUAAACUCCAAAAAAUCCAAAAAUAUUUAAAUACCUAAAAAUCUAAAAUUUUAUUCGAAAUCUGACCCGAUGAACCAAAAAUACUCAAAAUUUAUCCGACUACCCAUUUAAAAAAAAAAAAAAUUCAAAUUUUACCUGAAACCCAAAACUAUUGUAAAUCCAAACUUAAAACUUAAAAAAUAUAUGUAAGACCAGAAACAUAUUCGAAAUACCCUAAUAUACUUAAUAUACACAAAAUAUUUCCGACUAGGUCUCGGGUAGGACCCAAACUCAAACAAAGACCUGCGGGUCCAAAAGAAAUACCUAUUAGGUAAUUUUCUCUUAAUCCGGACCCAAACCAAACCUAUGUUUUGAGUCGGUUUCGGUUUGGUCCAGAUUAAAUAUCCAGGUCUAAGAGAAAAUUAUAUAAAAUGUACAUAAAAAAUAUUAAAUAAACUACUCAUAGAAUAUAUAAUUUUCAAAAACUCUCUUCUUCAAUAUAAUCACACAGAAUGGCGGAGUUAUGAUUUUUUUUUCACUGGAGCCAAUGCUAAUAUCUAUCUAUAGUGAUAAAGUUGACCAGAAAGACUCCACGGUACGACACAUGGCAAGCUAUCAUACAACUUUCAAUCCUAUGUUUUCGUUGAAAGCAAAUGAGAUAUGGACUACUCUUUUUAUUGGGCCCUUAACUACAUCAGCAUCCUGGCCCGAGUUGGUCUAGGGUUUUUUUUUUGGCAAUUGGAAUAUGCAUCUCCUGGAAUCAGUGGCGGUAACCCUUUGGCAUCCAUCCCAUCCGAUAAAACUUUCUGUAAUGGAAUCAUUGUCAUAAACAAUCUUAUUAACUACAUCUCCCCACUCCUUCCACGAAUUCCCAUUCAGGGCAGCCCUCCUUUCUUCCACUUGCUGAAUCUGCUAUAAGUAUGUUAGUUAGCAUCCAGGAAAUUCAUCAUUUCAUUCCUCACUAUUAUCAUGUCGUGUAAAGGUAAAAACAAAUCUACACACCUCAGUAUUUGAUUAUAUAUUUGUUUACUCUCUACCAGUUUAAUUCUCAUUUUAUAAAUAGCUGAGAUUGAUAUGGUGGCUGGCUGGUUCAUGGAUGUUUUCAACAUCGUUGACCUAAGUGGGAAACAGAGUCAUCAACGAAAUCAUUCUUGAAUAUCUCCGCCAAAUUAGUCGAAUUGAUUUUCUCUUCAAUUAUUUUCUGUUAGUUAUAUGGUUAUCAACAUAUUUUGUGGUCACUUGGGCCGAUGAGUCUUCUUGCUUCAGUCCAUUAAUUAGAUAAACAAUGUGAUUAAACAAUAUAUGUUUCUACAAGUGACUGAUAAAGACAACCUGCUCUGUAGUCACUGAUCCAGAGAGGUUCCCCAAAAUUAGAAAACUUUUUUGUUAUGUGCUUUCUGGUGGAAGCAGGAGCUGAAGAUCCUGUGAACCAAAAACCACAGCUUCUUCUCUCAAUAAGACUUGGAUGGAUCGGAAACUGGAGCAGUUAGAGAUUACUACGAAUGUGAGAAUGUUGGGGAUGAGGAUACAGGAAGGUUAUAGAGGGAGGGAUCAUGUCAUACAUUAAAGCACACACAGGCUCAUCAUGUUUAUUUUUUUUUCUUUUCAAAACCUGUGUUGAAUUCUAAGAGUUGUAUUAGCUUUCAUGGUCACAAAGAUACAAAUAUAAAUUACUAUUGUCGUCA